GCUAUGUUGAUUAAGAUUUUAAACUUUAUAUAUCGCUACAGGAUUAGCAUGGCCCCUGCGCAAGGAUGGCACUCACAAAUCGAGAAAUGGUCCAAAUUUUU